UACAGAGGUCCCAGGCGUUGUUCGGAUUCACUGGGCGUAAAGGGUGCGUAGGCGGUCGGGUAAGUCUGAUGUGAAAUCUCACAGCUUAACUGUGAAACUGCAUUGGAUACUAUCCGGCUCGAGGAAUGGAGGGGAGACUGGAAUACUUGGUGUAGCAGUGAAAUGCGUAGAUAUCAGGAGGAACACCGGUGGCGAAGGCGGGUCUCUGGGCCGAUACUGACGCUGAGGAGCGAAAGCGUGGGGAGCGAACAGG
rnacentral:rRNA from 1 species